rnacentral:rRNA from 1 species
CAAUCAAGUGCCUUAAGGGUGUUCGGUGGAUGCCUUGGCGCUGAGAGGCGAUGAAGGACGUGCUACGCUGCGAUAAGCCGUGGGGAGCUGCGAAGAAGCUUUGAUCCAUGGAUUUCCGAAUGGGGAAACCCACCUUCGAUAGCCGGAACUCCAAGACCUCAGUCGAAAGACUGUGGUGUGGGGUUCGAACAGAAAUGUGAGAUGCCUAGGCCUUUAGAUUUCGAUCGAAGAGGUUUUGGAUUUCCGGUUAUCAAAAGAAGGUAUGAGACUUCUGAAUACAUAGGAGGUUUCAAGCAAACCCAGGGAACUGAAACAUCUAAGUACCUGGAGGAAAGGACAUCAACAGAGACUCCGUUAGUAGUGGCGAGCGAACGCGGACCAGGCC